rnacentral:lncRNA from 1 species
UUGGAUUCUUCUUAUGUCCCAAUCUUUCUUUUUUAACAUUUAUGCCUUUUAUCCUGAACUUACAAUAGAAAUUCCCCAAGAGAACCAAUAGCUACAGGAUCCAGGUUAGUUCGACCCCAAAGAAAUUGUUUUUUCUUAUUAUUCUUAAUGCUUUUUCACCUUUGGAAAUAUCAGCUUCUUUUCUGUUCUUAUCUUUUAUAAUUCACCCUCAUAGUGUUUUGGCAAUUUCUUAGUCUUCCAGUUAAUGAUUUUUGUUCAUUAUUUAAUAUAGUGGAAUCUUGAUCUUAAGGGUGAGAGCAGAAGGUACUAUUUUGAUUUGAGACUGCAUAUAUCUUUUACAGAAGACAAUUUUGUUCGAAUCAGUAAGAACACAAGGACAAAACUUGUUUUUCUGUUUAGUAUUUAACGUAACUACAUAAGACUUGAAUUUAACACCAUUCAUUAACCUGAACAUUUUUCAUAUUAUUUUAUCUAUUCACUUAGCAGCCAAAAUGCUCUCUAAUGCAAGAUGUUUUCAGUUCCUUAUAUUUCGCUGCUGCGUGUUGUGAGCAAUAUUGUUUUGAAAGUAACAUUUUCGUUCACAUGAUCAUAGAUGUAGAUUGAAAUGUGAAACAAUCGAUUGACCUUAGAACUCAAAUGUCAUUGCAGAUCAAACUUUAAAAAGAAGGAAAUAGUGUGAAAACAACGAGCCAGCACUUUAUUUUGGUACCAGAUUUGCCGGCGAAACACCAUCAUAUGAAAUUCAAAUCACGUCCUCAAAUGCAAGGUCUAUUUCUUUUCUAAUCCUACAUGUACCAACAACCAUUAUUAAUCUAUACGGCUAUACUUAUUCAAGGGAAAUAGGUCAUAUGGAUUAAACAAUACUAUUGUGUUCUGUCAUGAAACGAUAAACCUUUGAGAUCCAUUAAGAUCUUAAUAUUUUAAAAUGGCCUCACCUAAAGUUUUUCUUGUCCUAUCUUCACCAGCAUGUCAAAGUUGGAAUGCACUCCUAGAAGUGAACAGGGAUACCUUUUUAAGAAGUUAGUGGAUGAUUACACAAAAAUGAUUAAAGAAUUUAAUUAAGUGUAUCCUUGCUUUUGGUAGGAUUUACUCGAACUGAAGAUAAGUUUGCAAACUGUACAACAAGCACAGCAUGAGAUUUCAUGCAAUACAAGUGGCUUGUAUGUUAUUUCACCUGGGUCUAUUUUGAAGUUUGAAUAUGUGAAUGCUCAUACUUGUAUUAUUUAUGCAUGUCAUUACCCC